rnacentral:rRNA from 1 species
AAAUUGAAGAGUUUGAUCAUGGCUCAGAUUGAACGCUGGCGGCAGGCCUAACACAUGCAAGUCGAGCGGUAGCACAGAGAGCUUGCUCUCGGUGACGAGCGGCGGACGGGUGAGUAAUGUCUGGGAAACUGCCUGAUGGAGGGGGAUAACUACUGGAAACGGUAGCUAAUACCGCAUAAUGUCGCAAGACCAAAGUGGGGGACCUUCGGGCCUCAUGCCAUCAGAUGUGCCCAGAUGGGAUUAGCUUGUAGGUGGGGUAACGGCUCACCUAGGCGACGAUCCCUAGCUGGUCUGAGAGGAUGACCAGCCACACUGGAACUGAGACACGGUCCAGACUCCUACGGGAGGCAGCAGUGGGGAAUAUUGCACAAUGGGCGCAAGCCUGAUGCAGCCAUGCCGCGUGUGUGAAGAAGGCCUUCGGGUUGUAAAGCACUUUCAGCGGGGAGGAAGGCGGUGAGGUUAAUAACCUCAUCGAUUGACGUUACCCGCAGAAGAAGCACCGGCUAACUCCGUGCCAGCAGCCGCGGUAAUACGGAGGGUGCAAGCGUUAAUCGGAAUUACUGGGCGUAAAGCGCACGCAGGCGGUCUGUCAAGUCGGAUGUGAAAUCCCCGGGCUCAACCUGGGAACUGCAUUCGAAACUGGCAGGCUAGAGUCUUGUAGAGGGGGGUAGAAUUCCAGGUGUAGCGGUGAAAUGCGUAGAGAUCUGGAGGAAUACCGGUGGCGAAGGCGGCCCCCUGGACAAAGACUGACGCUCAGGUGCGAAAGCGUGGGGAGCAAACAGGAUUAGAUACCCUGGUAGUCCACGCCGUAAACGAUGUCGAUUUGGAGGUUGUGCCCUUGAGGCGUGGCUUCCGGAGCUAACGCGUUAAAUCGACCGCCUGGGGAGUACGGCCGCAAGGUUAAAACUCAAAUGAAUUGACGGGGGCCCGCACAAGCGGUGGAGCAUGUGGUUUAAUUCGAUGCAACGCGAAGAACCUUACCUGGUCUUGACAUCCACAGAACUUAGCAGAGAUGCUUUGGUGCCUUCGGGAACUGUGAGACAGGUGCUGCAUGGCUGUCGUCAGCUCGUGUUGUGAAAUGUUGGGUUAAGUCCCGCAACGAGCGCAACCCUUAUCCUUUGUUGCCAGCGGUCCGGCCGGGAACUCAAAGGAGACUGCCAGUGAUAAACUGGAGGAAGGUGGGGAUGACGUCAAGUCAUCAUGGCCCUUACGACCAGGGCUACACACGUGCUACAAUGGCAUAUACAAAGAGAAGCGACCUCGCGAGAGCAAGCGGACCUCAUAAAGUAUGUCGUAGUCCGGAUUGGAGUCUGCAACUCGACUCCAUGAAGUCGGAAUCGCUAGUAAUCGUAGAUCAGAAUGCUACGGUGAAUACGUUCCCGGGCCUUGUACACACCGCCCGUCACACCAUGGGAGUGGGUUGCAAAAGAAGUAGGUAGCUUAACCUUCGGGAGGGCGCUUACCACUUUGUGAUUCAUGACUGGGGUGAAGUCGUAACAAGGUAACCGUAGGGGAACCUGCGGUUGGAUCACCUCCUUACCUUAAAGAA